rnacentral:rRNA from 1 species
GACGUAGGGCGCGAGCGUUGUCCGGAUUUAUUGGGCGUAAAGAGCUCGUAGGCGGCUUGUCGCGUCGACUGUGAAAACCCGUGGCUCAACCAUGUGGUCUGCAGUCGAUACGGGCAGGCUAGGAUUCGGUAGGGGAGACUGGAAUUCCUGGUGUAGCGGUGAAAUGCGCAGAUAUCAGGAGGAACACCGAUGGCGAAGGCAGGUCUCUGGGCAGGAACUGACGCUGAGGAGCGAAAGCAUGGGGAGCGAACAGG